UUGUCCGAGACUGUGGGAGUUUUUUUUUACUUAUAUUCAUACUGUUAGAAUUUUAGAUAACCUUUCCGCAGUCGCGAGUGUUUCAUGACAUCCAUACUAAUAAAAUACCUGUCUCAGGUGUUUCAAGUCAAAUUACAUUAAUAUGCAGUGUAAGAAGAUAAUAGGUAGCAGAGGGUAACACUUUACAAUAAGGUCUCAUUUAAUAACAGUUAAAGCAUUAACUAACAGUUAGCAAAAUUUAUUCAAGCAGUGUCUGUCCAUUAAUGUUUUGUUUUUCUUUCAUUUCUAAUUUUAAUUGUAUUUUUCCUCAUAACAGGUCUGAUGACAGUCACAAAAAACAGAAAGUGACACUACGAUGUCUAUGGAAAGUAGAAGACUAUUCAGAACAUGUCCCACUCUCUGUGAAAAGAAGGGUGAUAUACUGUAUGUUUGUACACGCAAAGAACUACAAGGAGACGACCACAACAGAUGAUUUGUUUGUCCACAGAUCAAGAUCAAGAUAAUUUUGGCAUCAGAGGUGAAGGAUAUUCUGCCACUACAAGACCCAAACCUGGUGAUCAGCAAAGCCUUCAAACUGUGUAUUACACAGGGUGACUCGGCCACACUGACGGAGGGUUGCUGGCUUAAUGACAAGGUUAUCAACUUUUUUCCUUGCUGAUGAAUAGAAACAGUGAUCAGCUGGGAGCCUUAAAGUCUUCUCUUACAACACUUUUUUCUACCCAAAGCUUCUUAGUGGUGAAGGCCAUGCAGCCGUGAAGAACUGAAGACUUCGUCUUGGAUCUUGUAUUUGUUCCUUUGCACCUAGGCAUGCACUCGGCUUUGGCUGUAAUUGAUUUUAAAUCCCAGACCAUACAGUGCUAUGACUCAAUGACUCAGAGACAUGAUGAUAUCUGUCAUGUUGUUGUGAGUGUCUUCUUAUUUUUGCUGCUAUAUUAACGUUUGUUCUAUGUUAAUGUUCUGUAAAGCUGCUUUGAGACAAUGUCAAUGUAAAAAGUGCUAUACAAAUAAACUUGAAUUGAAUUGAACUGUUAUUCCGUGGCUUGAUCAUUCAUCUUUGCAUAUCCAGAUAUCCAGAUGUUUUAUGUAACAGAAGGUACCUAACAAAGGAGCACAGGGUCAAGAAAGGAUGCAUCUUGGAGGCUUCCAGAUGGACCAU